rnacentral:rRNA from 1 species
UUGCAUGGGGGGAACCCUGAUCAGCCUGCCGCGUGUGUGAAGAAGGCCUUUUGGUUGUAAAGCACUUUAAGCGAGGAGGAGGCUACUUGGAUUAAUACUCUGAGAUAGUGGACGUUACUCGCAGAAUAAGCACCGGCUAACUCUGUGCCAGCAGCCGCGGUAAUACAGAGGGUGCAAGCGUUAAUCGGAUUUACUGGGCGUAAAGCGUGCGUAGGUGGCCAAUUAAGUCAAAUGUGAAAUCCCUGAGCUUAACUUAGGAAUUGCAUUCGAUACUGGUUGGCUAGAGUAUGGGAGAGGAUGGUAGAAUUCCAGGUGUAGCGGUGAAAUGCGUAGAGAUCUGGAGGAAUACCGAUGGCGAAGGCAGCCAUCUGGCCUAAUACUGACACUGAGGUACGAAAGCAUGGGGAGC